AUACAGGUUGAACAUUUGUUCGAUUGACAGUAUUUUCUUUUAAAAUUUACAUUCGUUUAUAUUUUCCAGGGGAAUAAAGAGCUAAAAUAAAAAUUAUGAUUUGUUUUGCUGGAACAACAACGUAUUUGUUGUGAAGAUGAAGAUAAAGCAUCAACAUCCUCUGGCGUCUUAAAAGUGUUAAAAAUCCAAGUGCUCAUUGUACGUCAUAGAUUUUUAAUGUGCUUCUAAAUGCAUCAUCGAGCAGCCUUGAUCCAUUUAGAUAAAGUGUCUAGUUUGGGAUCAUCUCACUCGCACUUUUCGUCAUUUUCUUGCAAAGUCCAAAACUGCGUCCAUUCGUAACCUGAAAUUCUUCGUAUUUUGUUGAUGGGCCAGAGAAUUCUAUAUUUUGUACCUUUGGAUUACAACUCAUUUAGAUGUUCAUUGUUUACAAAGCCUUUUUCUCCUAGAAAAAAGAUGAAAGUUGAGGUUUGUGUGAUGUUUAGGAAUCUGAUCUAAAAAAUGGUUAUCAUCCUUUGUUGUGUUAUUACCAAAGGAGAGAAGAACGGAUUUGUGAUUUCUAAAUCCCAUCUUUUAUGAAUGAUGUAUAUGUGAUGGAUAUAUGUGAGAUUCGAAGUUUUGCUGUGAAUUCCAAUUCUUUAGUGAAUCAUAUGAAAAUGGUAAUAUUUCAGACUUUUUUUGGUGGAACAACAUAUUAUUUGUCGCGUAGAUGAGGCAUCCACAUCCUCUGGCGUCUUAAAAGUGUUAAAAACCCGCGUGUUCAUUGUACAUCGUAGAUUUUCAAUGUGCUUCUGAAUGCAUCACCGAUCAGCUUUAAUCCCUUUAGAUAAAGUGUCCAGUUUUUGACCAUCUGACUCGCACUUUACGAAUUUUCUUGCAUAGUCCACAACUUCAUCCAUUCAUUACAUGAAAUUCUUCUUUUAAUUGAUGGGCAAAGGAAUUCUGUAUUUUGGAACUUUGGAUUACAACUCUCUUAGAAGUUCAUUGUUUACAAUGCCUUUGUCUACUUAUUGAAGGUUAUUUUGAGUAGUACACGCAGGCCGUGUUUUCUUUGAGGAAAAGUCCGUGUGGCGUAAGUAUUCUCAAAACUUCAACUAAAUUUAUUACGUUGUUAUUUUUGAAAAUAAAUGUUUACAUGUAGUUUAAAUUAGGUUUUGACUACAUGCAGUCGAUAGUCAAUGUAGACCUUGUGGGAGUUAAUCGUACAUAAAACAGGAUAUUAAGAGUGUGGAUUUUAUCACUGAAUAUUUAAAGAAGUUACAUAUAUUGAAUAAAAAUUAUUAUCUUUAUGUAAAAAAAAAAAAAAAAAUCUCAAUAAUAAAUGCUUGCAUGAUUAACUUUAAAUAGUUUUUGUUGACCAUUUGAUUUUCAGUCAGAGGGGGAUUUUUUGCUGAUGGAAUAUUUAUUUUACACCUGUUUUACAGGGCUUAUUUAUUUAGUGCGAACAAUAAUUUUCAAGCUUGGAACACAAUUAUUUCUUGCAAUGUCCUGCCUAAAAUAGCACAAACUAUUCAAAACAGGUUUUUAAAUAAAUAUUCUGGACUUGCGCAGUCAAGAAUGUUCAUUUCUAAAAUUACCCAUGGUGACUGGUGACUAGAAAUAUGGUCUCUUGGGAUUCCCUAAAGGUACCGACCAUUUAUUUUCGUGGGACAAACAGUUUUUUUAUGACUUUAAAAAAACAACUUUUUUUUAUAAUAACAUAUAUAGGAAAAAAUUUUAAACUCCAUUAUGAAUCCCCUUGCCCUUCAUUUUCAAUGGAAUCAAACAAUUUUUCACAAUUCACUCCAGUUUUCCCUCAAAAUAUUGGAGUUCCAACAAUGUAUCUUAUAUAUGUAUCUAUAUUAUUUAUGCGACUGUCAUACAAGUGAGAGAUUUAGCUAGCUAUAAAACCAGGUUUAAUCCACCAUUUUCUACAUAAGAAAAUGCCUGUACCAAGUCAGGAAUAUAACAGUUGUUAUCCAUUCGUUUAAUGUGUUUGAGCUUUUGAAUUUGCCAUUUGCUUAGGGACUUUCCGUUUAGAAUCAGCGUUCAGUAUUUUGUUAUUUUUCUUUUAACUUGUGUUAACAAUUAUCAUGUACAGGUAAUCAACACCAACGUACAGAUGAGAACAAAUUUUAUGUGAAACCAAUGUUCAUUACAUGAAACUUAUUAUAAACAGGUUUACAGUACGCGAUGUUUUGGUGUGAACACGGUCUUACAUUGGAUCUUUUUUGUCUAGGACAUAUAAUAUAAUUAUUUUAUAUUUAGACGGACGUAGUGAGGGAGAAUAUAAUAGGCAAUCAAGUCCCCGUUUAAGAAUCUAAUGCCUUCUUGGUACUUCAUGUCGUACACCAAAACAUUGCAAUAUGUUGUUAACGUCAUAAACAACGGAAGGUGAAUUAAUUGAUUGACGUUAUUUCAAUUUUGGGGUAACAACAAUGAAAUUAUCCAUAGUCCUUUGUAUUUUGAAACGGUGAAUUGUAAAAUGGUUUAAGAAAAUAAAAGUCACUGAAUUUUGUGCAACGGAUAAAAAUAUUGAAAAGCUUGAUACAUAAAACGAAAAACCAUACGUAUUCUUUUCAGAUUACUGUUGUAUUUAUCAAAGAAAAAAGAAAUUCUUUAUUUCUUCAACAGAAAAAAGAUAAAUAAAAGUU